rnacentral:rRNA from 1 species
GAGUUUGAUCCUGGCUCAGGAUGAACGCUAGCGGCAGGCUUAACACAUGCAAGUCGAGGGGCAGCAUGGGAGUAGUAAUACUUCUGAUGGCGACCGGCGCACGGGUGCGUAACGCGUAUGCAACCUACCUGUAACAGGGGGAUAACACUGAGAAAUCGGUACUAAUACCGCAUAACACUAUGAGAGGCAUCUCUUGUGGUUGAAAGUUUCGGCGGUUACAGAUGGGCAUGCGUUGUAUUAGCUGGUUGGUAAGGUAACGGCUUACCAAGGCGACGAUACAUAGGGGGACUGAGAGGUUAACCCCCCACAUUGGUACUGAGACACGGACCAAACUCCUACGGGAGGCAGCAGUGAGGAAUAUUGGUCAAUGGACGGAAGUCUGAACCAGCCAUGCCGCGUGCAGGAAGACGACUCUAUAAGUUGUAAACUGCUUUUGUACAAGGGUAAACCUGAAUACGUGUAUUCAGCUGAAAGUACUGUACGAAUAAGGAUCGGCUAACUCCGUGCCAGCAGCCGCGGUAAUACGGAGGAUCCAAGCGUUAUCCGGAUUUAUUGGGUUUAAAGGGUGCGUAGGCGGAUUGAUAAGUUAGAGGUGAAAUGUCCGAGCUCAACUCGGGAACUGCCUCUAAUACUGUUGAUCU